ensembl:lncRNA
GUUCAUGCAGUUCCACCCACAGACAAGUGAGAGGCGCUGUAGGGCUCCGUAGAAAGUAAAAGGGGAGGAGCGGUAUCGGAGAGUAAAGUAGCCACACGGUCUGUCUGUAUGAUUGUGUGACCAGGCAUGCGCUCGCAUCUGAGAACCAACCGACGCUGAGCAGGGAGCGGAUGAAGAAGCGUUUGGUGGCAUCUGCGAACUCCCGACCACUCCGCUUACUAUUGGCAACGGAAAGACGGUAGCCUCGACAGUUACAGCGGACACCUGACACUCAGCAACAGAAGGCCAACAUAAUACAUUUAGCUGUAAAAAGCAACAACGGUCUUUGCUGGAUAAAGACAGCAUUCACACAUAAGGACGAACGCCGGUGCUGAAGCUCAGCUGCGACUAGGGAGGUGUAGACGGCAAUACUCAGAUCUCAUUUGUCUGUGAUGAGAAUCGCCAUCCACCAGAGACCUAAGUUGCAGUGGUGGGCAGGGGGAUAUGCUGUCAGACCUCUGUGGCUCCAAAACGGUGGGGGCUCAAGAUGAAGUGGCUGUGAGGGAAGGAGAUCAAACAACAUACUGUAUGCCUAACAGAGCAGUACCUGGUGUGAUUGCCUGCUUUGUGUAUGAGUAUAACUUACUGUAUAUCGAUGAUAAUGGACUUGAUUUAUUUAGCCCUUUUCCAAGUGCCCGAAGCGUUGUAUAUCAGUACUGUAGUAGCUUAAUUGAGCAUUUAAAUCACCAACCACCCCAAGAAGUAAUGUUGACGUAGCUGUUAAUUCACCUCAAGAACAAUU